GUUUAGAUAGCUCAGUUGGUAGAGCGAAAGACUGAAAAUCUUUAGGUCAGUGGUUCGAUCCCACUUCUAGACA
rnacentral:tRNA from 1 species